rnacentral:rRNA from 1 species
CUGCGAGAGUGACGGCUCGAGCAGGUACGAAAGUAGGUCUUAGUGAUCCGGUGGUCCCGAAUGGAAGGGUCAUCGCUCAACGGAUAAAAGGUACUCCGGGGAUAACAGGCUAAUUCCUCCCAAGAGUUCAUAUCGACGGAGGAGUUUGGCACCUCGAUGUCGGCUCAUCACAUCCUGGGGCUGAAGUAGGUCCCAAGGGUAUGGCUGUUCGCCAUUUAAAGUGGUACGCGAGCUGGGUUCAGAACGUCGUGAGACAGUUCGGUCCCUAUCUGCCGUGGGCGUUAGAGAUUUGAGAAGAGUUGCUCCUAGUACGAGAGGACCGGAGUGAACGAACCACUGGCGUUCCGGUUGUUUCGCCAGAAGCAUUGCCGGGUAGCUACGUUUGGACGGGAUAAACGCUGAAAGCAUCUAAGCGUGAAGCCUCCUUCAAGAUUAGAUCUCUCUGAUGAAAAUCAGUAAGGAACGUUGGAGACUACGACGUUGAUAGGCUGGGUGUGGAAGUACAGCAAUGUAUGAAGCUUACCAGUACUAAUGAUCCGAGAGACUUAAGUCUAU